rnacentral:rRNA from 1 species
CCUACGGGUGGCAGCAGUGGGGGAUAUUGCACAAUGGGGGAAACCCUGAUGCAGCGACGCCGCGUGGGUGAAGGAGCGUUUCGGCGCGUAAAGCCCUAUCAGCAGGGAAGAAGAUGACGGUACCUGACCAUGAAGCCCCGGCUAACUACGUGCCAGCAGCCGCGGUAAUACGUAGGGGGCAAGCGUUAUCCGGAUUUACUGGGUGUAAAGGGGGCGCAGACGGCAAUGCAAGCCAGGAGUGAAAGCCCGGGGCCCAACCCCGGGACUGCUCUUGGAACUGCAGGGCUGGAGUACAGGAGGGGCAGGCGGAAUUCCUGGUGUAGCGGUGAAAGGGGUAGAUAUGAGGGGGAACACAGGUGGCGAAGGCGGCCUGUGGGCUUGUGA